rnacentral:rRNA from 1 species
AUUGAACGCUGGCGGAAUGCUUUACACAUGCAAGUCGAACGGCAGCAUGGACUUCGGUCUGGUGGCGAGUGGCGAACGGGUGAGUAAUGUAUCGGAACGUGCCCAGUCGUGGGGGAUAACGUAGUGAAAAUUACGCUAAUACCGCAUACGAUCUAUGGAUGAAAGCGGGGGAUCGCGAGACCUCGCGCGAUUGGAGCGGCCGAUAUCAGAUUAGGUAGUUGGUGGGGUAAAGGCCCACCAAGCCAACGAUCUGUAGCUGGUCUGAGAGGACGACCAGCCAAACUGGAACUGAGACACGGUCCAGACUCCUACGGGAGGCAGCAGUGGGGAAUUUUGGACAAUGGGCGAAAGCCUGAUCCAGCCAUUCCGUGUGCAGGAUGAAGGCCCUCGGGUUGUAAACUGCUUUUGUACAGAACGAAAAGGUUUCUACUAAUACUAGGAGCUCAUGACGGUACUGUAAGAAUAAGCACCGGCUAACUACGUGCCAGCCGCCGCGGUAA